AAGAAGGAGAAGAAGAAGAAGAAGAAGAAGAAGCCUUAUGUUACCAGCCUAAAUUGGUAGAAUUAAGGAAGUUUUUAGUUCCCCUGCUAAUUCAGAGAUAUAUAGAAAGCCUGCAUUUUUAAACCACCUUUGGCAAUUUGCUUCCAGUAGUUCAGCAACUCGUGGACACCUUUACAGCUCAUCACUGCAUGUUGUACUGAGGCCAAAGCUCAGAAGAAAUGGUGAGCGAAGAUGAUUUCGAAAUUUGAAUACUGCCACAGGAGUUACAGAGUGUGGACAUCAACCUGCAGUCAUUCUGGUCAAACUGAUGUUCUGCAGAGGAGGAGUGCAACACUUCCUGUUGCGACGUACCCCGUAUCCUGUUUUCCACAGUCAGUGGUCAUGCGUGUCAUUCCCCUCUGCAAGGCUCUGUGGGCACAAUCUCGUGACCCUGCACUGUGACUCUUCUGAAACUGAACUAGGGGAGACUCCACAUGUCUGACAAAAACUUUUUGCUGAAUUCCAGCAAAGAAAUAUGUAUAAUGCAACAAAGAAUAUGUACAGUUCUGUUGAGAAAUGACCAUGACUUAGUAAAUAACAGAUGUAUUUCACUGUCUAAUUCCUGUAUUUUGAAGUGUUAAGUAAACUGUAGCAGUGCCAAUUAUAGUACUAUUUUAUUGCUUGCAGACUAUACUACCUUCAGAAUAUUAGUGGCCUCUGAAAAUAAGUGCAUCCAAAGAUAGUGAUGAGAACAUUGACACCUUCACAGAGCAGACCCAAAGACUCCAGGGGCCAAACUAUGAGGCCGUGAAUUAAGAGGUGCCACAGUAACUGUUUGCGUGUGUGUGUGGGCUUAAACCAUCAGAGAUAUGUAUCUUGUGACCGUAUUCAGACGGCAAACUGUGAAGUGCUCAAUUACACCCUGUGGUGGGGCCAAACCAGAAUGCUGUACUUAGUCAGAAUAAGUUCACAGUGUGUCCCUUACACUUGAAAACUAUAUAUAUAGAUAUGUAUCACUGCCACCAACAACUAUUUUAUACACCAUAUCUAACUGGACAUGUUUUUAAAGAGUAAGAGUUGGCCAUUCAGUCACAGGCAGGUUGACACAAAAACACCGUGAAGGCAAUUCAUUGCAAUAGUCUUUAAAUUUGAGCCCAUAAUUGUUUGUGUUUUUGUACCGGCUUGCAUUAAGAAAUAGGGGAAGUAUUCAGAUCCUUUACCUAAAGGAACUGUUUGACAUUUUGGGAAAUAAGGCUUAUUCUGAAAAUAUGAAGAUACAGUCAGCAGCUGCUUUGCCCAGCUUAGCAUAAAGACUGGAAACAGGUCUCCCCAUCAGCUCCUUUAAAGAUCACUUACUCCAAUACUCCAUUGUGUAACCCACCAUAAAACUACCCUUCAUUCUGUGCACAGAUUUUUUUGACAGGUUGGAUAUUUCCACCUGUUUCCAAUCUUUGUACUAAGCUAAGCUAAGCUAACCAUCUGCUGGCUGUAUGGUGUCACAUGCUCCAUACAGAAAUGAGAGCGGUAUCGAUCCUGUAAUCUCACUCUUGGUAAGAAAGUGAGGCGUGUAACCCUAACUACUAAGUAGGAGUGCCACAAAAGUCCAGCACUGAAAAUGUUACUUAAAGCAAGAUUAUGUAACUUUUCAGAUUAGAAAUGACACGUUCUUCCUGUUACAAAUAACAGGUUGAAACACUCAAGGGUUUUGCUGCUACUUGGUCUGGUAUAAGCAGUAUGGAGACUGAUGUUAGCUAGGGCUGGGAAACCUCUUUGUAGAAUUUGCUGUUUAACUGAUAUUACUGAGCCGGUUUGCUGACUUUAUGAUUUCUCUUUAAUUGUUCAUUUUUAGACUAUGAUAUUCUGUAAUUGACACUUUGUUGUUCAGCAGAAGUUGCAUAGGAUUGCUUUAAGUAAAUGUAUGUUAAUUAUUAUUGGCAAAAUGAAGUUAGACAGAUUAAAGGUAAAAGUAUUCAGGGCAGAAAAAAUGGCAGUUGGCCAGUGUUGGUGCAUAACUGAAUGAAUCAACACAUCUCUGACACUUCUGACUUCACUAAAAUUGGACACAGUAAGUGUCACAUAUUUUGCUGGUUUGUUGUGUUGGAUUUCAUUAUAUUUUACAAAUACUCAUCAUUGUUUACGCAACUGGUGCGUUGUGUAAACAGGCCACUUUAUCAGGUACACCUAAAAAAAAUGUAAAAUGUAAAGUAUAUUUUACAGGUGCACCCAGUAAAGUGGUCACAGUGAAGUCGUAUAUUGUCAGUGUUGUCAGAGCAAUAACAAUAACACGCACAUGUUCAUGACAAAUGGAAACAUUUUGGAAAAACAAGGCACAGCAUGUGAUCUGUGAGGGUAAUGUGUUUAUGGUUUUUCUAUGAUGUUGCAACAUGCCUGCAGAAUGUGAAAAAGAAGAGUUACAGGCUUGAUUCAACACACUCUGGGUUCAUAACAAAUCACUUACAGUCCUUUAACUAUUUGUUCAUAAGAUACAUAGAAAACAAGAGUUUUAUAGAAAUUAUUUUGGUGUAAUAAAUCCAAAAUGUUGUCUGCC